GGGAGGGAAAUCAAAUAACCCACAGCCGUGGACCGAACCGGUUGUUGCAGUCGCCAUUCGUCACACAGUUCAGAUCCGAGUUGCGAUCUUCGACAUGGGUUGGACUUGAUUUCCAGAUCUGAGUCGUAGUUCUUCAUAUAAUGCCAGUUACCAAUUUCAACAUGGCAUGGAAGGCUUGCUAUCUAUCAUCAAUGCAAGCUUCGUUACAAGAAGAUUUAUUGGUACACAAGAUAAUAGACCCACUGGUGGGGAAACUGAAUCGCCAUGUACAUCCUAUAGAGUUGAAGAAAGUAAUGCGGAUAGACUUGGACCCAGUUUAGUAGCAACUUACAGGGCAUUAUCGACUUGAACCCAUUUUUACUUAAGGCAGAUGGUACUUAAAGAUCUAUCUAGUAGAGGAUGAAGUUCGUUUCGAAAAAUUUACUAAGCUGGUUACACAUUUUGUGGACUUUAGUGAGGAAGAUGCAGCUACUAAGUGUUCUUGUGGUUCAUUUGAAAUGAGAGAGAUAGUGUGCCAACACAUCUUCGUCGUGUUCAAAUGUAACGGGAUUAAAUUUUUGCUAAAUAGGUACAUUUUGGAUCGAUAGAGAAAUGAUAUCAAAAGAAGAUACAUGUUAAUCCACAUCAGCUACAAUGUAAGGGAUCAACGUGUAGAUGUUAACAGAUAUUCAAGUCUGUUGAAUAUCUAUUAUAAGAUGAUUACUCAUGCAACGAGUUCGAAAGAGCAUACUGAGGAUGCAAAGACUAAGUUGGACGCAAUGAUUGACCUGUAUUCUGCCAACCAAAAACCCCCAUGGAUGAACCAAAAGUGUUCCAAUGUUGGUGGUGUGACAAAAGACAAAACUAUAGUUGGUAGUUCAACACAAGUACCCAGUCCACUUGUUAUGUGAGGGAAAGACAGAUCCCAUCUAUGAGGAGAGCAUCCAGGAUGAAGAGAGACCUGCGGAAAGUUAAGGAGAAGAUGAAGUAAGCGCAGGGAAAGGAAAAAUGCAAACAGUGAGAUGGAGAAUAUACACCAGUCGUGGACACUUGCAGUAAUUUAUUUGGCCAUUUCAAUAUGGAUAUGUCCAAUGUUGGACAUGUGCAGGCUAUUCUAGAAAGCAUACCAGUUGUUGAAAUUAGUGGAACCCAGUCCCGAGAAACAAUAAUUCAAAGUCAAGAAAGUAUGCAAUUUAGGUUGGACGGAUCACAAUCGCUCACGUUGAGUUUAAUGGAUCACAAUCACGACAAUGAUAUGAUCACAAUCACGACAAUGAUAUGAUUAUCGUGGAUAUGUUUUUUAUAAUACUAACAUUUAUAUGGUUUUUAAAAAAUUUAGGGUUGUUGUGGUUAACUUGUUUAUUUGAAAUGCUUUGCAUGAGGAUGGAGGGGCUUUGGAUUGAGAUUAUUUCUGAUGAAGUUAUGCAUGGGAGGAUGUCAUGGUUGGUUAUAAAUUAAUUCAAUAUUGAAUACAUUAAGGGACUACUGGCAUGAAUGGCCAGUUAAAUUUCUUGCAA